CAAUCCUUCCUUGUUGCCUCCUUCACUCUAAGCAGAGAAAAUCUGAGAAAGAAGAAAAGAAAGCACAGGAGCCCUAGAUGGUGAAGAAGGAGACUAAGCUUGAGGUCAUAGAAGAGAAGUUAAUGUCUGUGAGGCUAGGGCUCAAAGGUGGGCCCAGUUCUUGAGAGCGCACGUGAUAGUUGAGUGAGUAGUUCUAGUUGUUGUAGAUACUAGACCAGUACUUUUGUUAGUAGUACUUUAUCUGAUUGUAGUAAGCUACCUUUUGAUGGUGCUUAGACGCCGAGGUUGUCCCCUUUGUUACUGUACAAAAGGGUUUUCAGAGAGCCCUUGGACUCAGGAGACCCAAACUAAGUCCAGAUCAGAGAACUCUGGACUUAGGCGACCUUAGAACUACCAACCGGAAACUUUUUCGGUCGUCGGAGAUGCCGCACGCGCUGGCGCGUGACGGAGGUGGUAGCGGUUGACGGUGGCGCGUGAGAGCCACGUGGGAGGCAGAUCGGUGGCUAACUUCUUGGAGUGGGUCGCCGAACGCCAGCGAAGCUUGCUGGACUGGUGGUGACGACAGGGAGCAACAAAAAAAAAAAAUUAUUGCAAUGGCUCUGAUACCAUGUUAAUAGACUGAAGAGAAAAACACCUUUGUGAAGAACUCUCUGUCUUGGUAUCAGAUCUAUGCUUGAUUUCCUCUCUCUUUAGAACUCAAUGAUACAGAGGUACGAGCCUAUAGAACAAAUCCUGUUUAAUUAAGGUCGCACACUUGUAUCCUUGAGUUUUAAGGAGAAAAGAAAAUAAAAC